CGAAACUUCGUUUCCUCAGUUCAGGAUCCUGAGUACGGCGGAACACGUGAAACUCCGUCGGAAUCCGGGAGGACCAUCUCCCAAGGCUAAAUACUACCUAGUGACCGAUAGUGAACCAGUACCGUGAGGGAAAGGUGAAAAGCACCCCGGGAGGGGAGUGAAAUAGUUCCUGAAACCAUAUGCCUACAAGUAGUCAGAGCUCGUUAAUGAGUGAUGGCGUGCCUUUUGUAGAAUGAACCGGCGAGUUACGUUAGCGUGCGAGGUUAAGGAGGAAAGUCCGGAGCCGUAGCGAAAGCGAGUCUGAAUAGGGCGAGAUAGUACGUUGACGUAGACCCGAAACCAGGUGACCUACCCAUGUCCAGGUUGAAGGUGCGGUAAAACGCACUGGAGGACCGAACCCGUGUAUGUUGAAAAAUGCUGGGAUGAGGUGUGGGUAGAGGUGAAAUUCCAAACGAACUUGGAGAUAGCUGGUUCUCUCCGAAAUAGCUUUAGGGCUAGCCUCGGAGUUAAGAAUCGUGGAGGUAGAGCACUGUUUGGACUAGGGGCCCGUCUUGGGUUACUGAAUUCAGAUAAACUCCGAAUGCCACAGAUUUAUAUCCGGGAGUCAGACUGCGAGUGAUAAGAUCCGUAGUCGAAAGGGAAACAGCCCAGACCACCGAUUAAGGUCCCAAAAUAUGUGUUAAGUGGAAAAGGAUGUGGAAUUGCAUAGACAACUAGGAUGUUGGCUUAGAAGCAGCCACCAUUUAAAGAGUGCGUAAUAGCUCACUAGUCGAGUGAUCCUGCGCCGAAAAUGUAACGGGGCUAAACACAUUACCGAAAUCGUGGAUGUACCUUAGGGUACAUGGUAGGAGAGCGUUCUAAGGACGGCGAAGCUAGACCGUAAGGACUGGUGGAGUGCUUAGAAGUGAGAAUGCCGGUAUGAGUAGCGAAAGAUCAGUGAGAAUCUGGUCCACCGUAUGACUAAGGUUUCCUGGGGAAGGCUCGUCCUCCCAGGGUUAGUCGGGACCUAAGCCGAGGCCGAGAGGCGUAGGCGAUGGAUAACAGGUUGAGAUUCCUGUACUGGUUAAACUUGUUUGAACAAUGGAGGGACGCAGGAGGCUAUCGAUGCGUACUGUUGGAUAUGUACGUUCAAGCAACAAGUCUGUAGAUGAGUCAAAUGCUUAUCUACUUAAGGACAAGUUGUGAUGAGGAGCGAAAUUUAGUAGCGAAGUGAGAGACGUCA
rnacentral:rRNA from 2 species